rnacentral:rRNA from 1 species
UACGUAGGGGGCAAGCGUUGUCCGGAUUCAUUGGGCGUAAAGAGCGUGUAGGCGGCCAGGUAGGUCGGUUGUGAAAACUGGAGGCUCAACCUUCAGAGGUCGACCGAAACCAUCUGGCUAGAGUCCGGGAGAGGAGAGUGGAAUUCCUGGUGUAGCGGUGAAAUGCGUAGAUAUCUGGAGGAACACCGGUGGCGAAGGCGGCAUCCUGGACCAACACUGACGCUGAGUGAGCGAAAGCCAGGGGAGCAAACGGG